UACAGAGGGGGCCAGCGUUAUUCGGAAUUAUUGGGCGUAAAGGGCGCGUAGGCGGCCAUGCGUGUCUUCCGUGAAAUCCCUCGGCUUAACCGAGGACGUGCGGAAGAAACUGCAAGGCUCGAGUCCGGAAGAGGGGGGGCGGAAUUCCCAGUGUAGCGGUGAAAUGCGUAGAUAUGUCACAGAACACCAAUUGCGAAGGCAGCUUACUAUGGUUUUAUUGACACUGAGGCACGAAAGCGUGGGGAUCAAACAGG
rnacentral:rRNA from 1 species